rnacentral:rRNA from 1 species
UGGGGAAUCUUGCACAAUGGGGGCAACCCUGAUGCAGCGACGCCGCGUGAGCGAUGAAGCCCUUCGGGGCGUAAAGCUCUUUCGACCGGAACGAUAAUGACGGUACCGGGAGAAGAAGCUGCGGCUAACUACGUGCCAGCAGCCGCGGUAAUACGUAGGCAGCAAGCGUUGUUCGGAGUUACUGGGCGUAAAGAGUGCGUAGGCGGUUUUCUAAGUUCGGUGUGAAAUCUCCCGGCUUAACUGGGAGGGUGCGCCGAAGACUGGGAAGCUGGAGUGUGGGAAAGGCAGGCGGAAUUCCUGGUGUAGCGGUGAAAUGCGUAGAUAUCAGGAGGAACACCGGCGGUGUAGACGGCUUGCUAGACCAUAACUGUCGCUGAGGCACGAAAGCGUGGGUAGCAAACA